AUUGAACGCUGGCGGCAGGCCUAACACAUGCAAGUCGAACUAGUCGCGGACGGGUGAGUACUGUCUGGGAAACUGCCUGAUGGAGGGGGAUAUCUACUGGAAACGGUAGCUAAUACCGCAUACCAUCAGAUGUGCCCAUAUGGGAUUAGCUUGUUGGUGGGGUAACGGCUCACGAAGGCGACGAUCCCUAGCUGGUGGGAGAGGAUGACCAGCCACACUGGAACUGAGACACGGCCCAGACGCACACGGGAGGCAGCAGUGGGGAAUAUUGCGCAAUGGGCGCAAGACUGAUGCAGCCAGGCCGCGUGUAUGAAGAAGGCCUUCGGGUUGUAAAGUACUUUCAGCGGGGAGGCGUUACCAACAGAAGAAGCACCGGCUAACUCCGUGCCAGCAGCCGCGGUAAUUC
rnacentral:rRNA from 1 species